rnacentral:rRNA from 1 species
AUUGAACGCUGGCGGCAGGCCUAACACAUGCAAGUCGAACGAGUGGCGGACGGGUGAGUAAUGUCUGGGAAACUGCCCGAUGGAGGGGGAUAACUACUGGAAACGGUAGCUAAUACCGCAUACCAUCAGAUGUGCCCAGGUGGGAUUAGCUUGUUGGGGGGGUAACGGCUAACAAAGGCGACGAUCCCUAGCUGGUCUGAGAGGAUGACCGGCCACACUGGAACUGAAACACGGUCCAGACUCCUACGGAGGGCAGCAGUGGGGAAUAUUGCACAAUGGGCGCAAGCCGGAUGCAGCCAGGCCGCGUGUAUGAAGAAGGCCUUCGGUUUGUAAAGUACUUUCAGCGGGGAGGCGUUACCCGCAGAAGAAGCACCGGCUAACUCCGUGCCAGCAGCCGCGAUAAUAC